AAUAUUGGACAACGGGGGCAACGCAGACCCAGCCAGGCCGCGAGUGUGAAGAAGGUCUUCGGAUUGUAAAGCACGUUAAUUUGGGAGGAAGGUCAUUAGGUUAAUACCCUGAAGUUUUGACGUUACCACAAGAAUAAGCACUGACUAACCCUCAGCCAGCAGCCGCGGUAACACAGUGGGUGCAAGCGUUAAUCGGAAUUACUGGGCGUAAAGCGCGCGUAGGUGGUUCAGUAAGAUGGGUGUGAAAUCCCCGGGCUUAACCUGGGAACUGCUUUCAUAACUGCUGAGCUAGAGUACGGUAGGGGGUAGUGGAAUUUCCUGUGUAGCGGUGAAAUGCGUAGAUAUAGGAAGGAACACCAGUGGCGAAGGCGACUACCUGGACUGAUACUGACACUGAGGUGCGAAAGCGUGGGGAGCAAAC
rnacentral:rRNA from 1 species